UGAGUUUGUUCAUAAGGCAGGUCUGGGUGUUGGGCAGAAUGAGCCUCUGCUUACUGGCCUAAUCCAGAGGGCUUUCCUAUGAUGUGUUGUUUUCUAUUACCAGCACCUCCGCUUCAUGCCAUACUCUUGGCUAAUUGAAGCUGCUGAAGGCAAGAGGAUUCCACUAAUGGACUCGGCUCUCCCUCAGGGGUCAGACGCCAAGACAAUGUCACAGCGGUGGAAGGAAGAGCCCAGAUGGCCCGGCUCAGGUGGUGAAGGCCUUUAGAAUCUGCCUUGAGGCUCUCAGUGGCUUUAGAUCGAAAACCAUCUUGGCCCCUUCCAGCAGCGUAAGGCAUUUUAUGACAGCCUGAAAGCACAGAGCUUAAACAGAAUGAUGAUCACAGGGCAGGAAUUUGGACUCCAGGAGAACUGCCUAAGCACAGAUUAUUUUUCUCCGGUAUUUGAUGAGAACAAACGAAGACGUGCGUCGGAGAGUCUGGACUUCACGUGCUGCUCUUCCAAAACAAGGACAGGAUAUCAACCCAGAAAAAUGAGCCCUUCAGACCUGCGAUGAUCUGUGAAAAGCUCAGAUGGACUUAGCAGGCAUUUUCUUGACACCUGGGAAAAGUCAGCAUGUGAGAGAGGGAGUAGCAUUAUGGUUACGAGGCUACGUUCUAGAGCUGGGCUGCCUGGUUGAAUGCCAGCUACUCAGCUGUAGUGGGUUAAACGGUGCCCCCUGCAAAAAAAAAAAAAAUAUAUAUAUAUAUAUAUAAGAGCACCUCCUAACCCCAGGAACCUGUGACUGUGGCCUUAUUGGGGAAAAGGGCCUCAGCAGAUGUAAAUACAUUAAGGAUUUCUGAGAUGAGAUCCCCCUGCAGGAUGAGUCCUGUAUCCAAUAAGGAGAAGACACAGAUGCAGAAGAGAAGGUCAUGUGAAGAUGGAAGCAGAGACUGGAGUGAUGCUGUCAUAGGCCAGGGAACACCUGAAGCCACCAGAAGCUAGAAGAGGUCAGAAGUGUUUCUCCUUAGAGACUCUGGAGGGAGUGUGGUCCGGCUGGCCCCUUGACUUUGGACUUCUGGACCCCAGAACUGUGAGAGAAUACAUUUCCGUUGUCUUAAGCCACCAGGUUUGUGGUUAUUUGUUAGAGCAGCCCUAGGAAACAAACACGUCACUUACCAGCUGAGUGACCUUGGACACAAUAUUUGACCUCUACAAAUCGGACCCCUUGAAAUGCCUUCACACAGGUGAGUGUCUGCACCUGGUAUGCUCAUACACAUGACUUUUUUUUUCUCUUGUGACAACAGGCAAAUACAACAGAGCUGAGACUUCAACCCAGUAAGUGCUGGUCAAAAGAGUCACUAUCUUGCAGAUGUAGAGGGCAGACUUGUGGACAUAGAGGGGAAAGGGAGGGUGGAACACAAUGACACAUAUGCACUACCGUGUAUAAAAUAGCUGUCUAGUGGGAAGCUGCUGUAUAGCACAGGGAG
rnacentral:lncRNA from 1 species